UGCGGAGGGAUCAUUAGCGAGUUAUCUAAAAACUCCCACACCCUGUGUGAACAUACCUCUGUUGCCUCGGCAGGUCUGACCUGCCGGCGGCGUACAACAAACUCUUUAUCUAUAACCAGUCUUCUGAAAAACAAACUUGAAUUAGUUAAAACUUUCAACAACGGAUCUCUUGGUUCUGGCAUCGAUGAAGAACGCAGCGAAAUGCGAUAAGUAAUGUGAAUUGCAGAAUUCAGUGAAUCAUCGAAUCUUUGAACGCACAUUGCGCCCAUCAGUAUUCUGGUGGGCAUGCCUGUUCGAGCGCCAUUUCAACCCUUAAGCCUCUGUUGCUUAGUGUUGGGGGCCUACCACGGUAGCCCCUGAAAGCCAUUGGCGGAGUCGGUCGCACACUCCGGACGUAGUAGAUCUCUUCUCGUCCUGGGUCCCGGCCGGUCCCCUGCCGUAAAACACACCAAUUCUUUUUAAUGGUUGGCCUC
rnacentral:rRNA from 1 species